rnacentral:rRNA from 1 species
GUAGGUCGGAACACGUGAUAUUUUGACUGAAGCCGGGGGGACCACCCUCCAAUCCUAAAUACUACUUACAGAUCGAUAGUGAACAAGUACCGUGAGGGAAAGGUGAAAAGUACUCCAGCGAGGAGAGUGAAAUAGAACCUGAAACCAUUAGCUUACAAUCAUUCAGAGCCCUAUGAUUUAUCAGGGUGAUGGACUGCCUUUUGCAUAAUGAGCCUGCGAGUUGUGGUAUCUGGCAAGGUUAAGUCAAGUACGAAGCCGUAGCGAAAGCGAGUCUUAAUAGGGCGAAUUAGUCAGAUGCUGCAGACCCGAAACGAAGUGAUCUAUCCAUGAGCAGGUUGAAGCUGGUGUAAGAGCCAGUGGAGGACCGAACCCGCAGGCGUUGAAAAGUCUUGGGAUGACUUGUGGAUAGGGGUGAAAGGCCAAUCAAACUUCGUGAUAGCUGGUUCUCUCCGAAAUAUAUUUAGGUAUAGCCUUGUGUUGUAGCAUAUGGGGGUAGAGCACUGAAUGGGCUAGGGCUGCUUACCGCGGUACCAAACCCUAUCAAACUAUGAAUACUAUAUGUGGAAUCACAGGAGUCAGGCGGUGGGUGAUAAAAUCAAUCGUCGAGAGGGGAACAACCCAGACUAACAGCUAAGGUCCCUAAGUUACAUCUAAGUGGAAAACGAUGUGGAGUUACUGUGACAACCAGGAGGUUGGCUUAGAAGCAGCCAUCCUUUAAAGAAAGCGUAACAGCUCACUGGUCUAGUGAUUCUGCGCGGAAAAUAUAACGGGGCUAAGAUGUACACCGAAGCUUUAGAUUCAAUUUUUAAUUGAG